CAGGGAAUCUUGCACAAUGGGCGAAAGCCUGAUGCAGCGACGCCGCGUGAGGGAUGAAGGUUCUAGGAUCGUAAACCUCUUUUCUUAGGGAAUAGUUUGGAAGGUACCUAAGGAAUAAGUCACGGCUAACUACGUGCCAGCAGCCGCGGUAAUACGUAGGUGGCAAAUGUUGUCCGGAAUCAUUGGGCGUAAAGGGUCCGUAGGUGGCUUGAAAAGUCUUAUGUGAAAUCUCUUGGCUCAACCAAGAAACGCCAUAAGAAACUUUCAUGCUAGAGAUCAUCAGAGGGAGGUAGAAUUCCAGGUGUAGUGGUGAAAUGCGUAGAUAUCUGGAGGAAUACCAAUGGCGAAAGCAGCCUCCUGGGGUGAAUCUGACAUUGAGGGACGAAAGCGUGGGUAGCAAACCGG
rnacentral:rRNA from 1 species